GCUCAAAUAGUUUUAAAUAAUAAAACAUUAGUCUUGUAAACUAAAAAUAAGAAAAUCUCUUUUUGAAC
rnacentral:tRNA from 1 species